rnacentral:misc_RNA from 1 species
AAGUCGUAACAAGGUUUCCAUAGGUGAACCUGCGGAAGGAUCAUUAUUGAAUGAAUUUAGGAGUUGGUUUGAUGCUGGCCGACAACCCCAAGGGCAUUUUGCAUGCCUUCUCCUUCAUCCACACACACCUGUGCACUUGUGAGAUGUGAGGAUUAAUUUCCUCCGUCUACUAAUCACACAAACUCAUUGUAAUUGAACUGAAUGUAAUUGAUGUAACACAUCAUUUGAACUAAGUUUCAACAACGGAUCUCUUGGCUCUCA